rnacentral:rRNA from 1 species
UACGAAGGGGGCUAGCGUUGUUCGGAAUUACUGGGCGUAAAGGGCGCGUAGGCGGUCCUUCAAGUCAGGCGUGAAAGCCCCGGGCUCAACCUGGGAACCGCGCUUGAGACUGGCGGGCUAGAGUUCGGGAGAGGAUGGUGGAAUUCCCAGUGUAGAGGUGAAAUUCGUAGAUAUUGGGAAGAACACCGGUGGCGAAGGCAGCCAUCUGGACCGACACUGACGCUGAGGCGCGAAAGCGUGGGGAGCAAACAGG